rnacentral:rRNA from 1 species
ACGGAAGGCAGCAGUGGGGAAUAUUGCACAAUGGGCGCAAGCCUGAUGCAGCGACGCCGCGUGAGCGAAGAAGUAUUUCGGUAUGUAAAGCUCUAUCAGCAGGGAAGAAAAUGACGGUACCUGACUAAGAAGCCCCGGCUAACUACGUGCCAGCAGCCGCGGUAAUACGUAGGGGGCAAGCGUUAUCCGGAUUUACUGGGUGUAAAGGGAGCGUAGACGGCGCUGCAAGUCAGAUGUGAAAGGCUGGGGCUUAACCCCGGGACUGCAUUUGAAACUGCAGUGCUCGAGUGCCGGAGAGGUAAGCGGAAUUCCUAGUGUAGCGGUGAAAUGCGUAGAUAUUAGGAGGAACACCAGUGGCGAAGGCGGCUUGCUGGACGGUAACUGACGUUGAGGCUCGAAAGCGUGGGGAGCAAACAGGAUUAGAUACCCUGGUA